CAGAGGUUCCCGACGAAGUGGAAGAAGGCGCAGAAGAGUCCUACCUGAGUCCCUGGGCUCACUUGGGGGGGACGGCCCGCCUGGAGUGCAGCGUGAAAGCCGCCCCUUCGCCCACUUUCAAGUGGACCAUCAACGAGGACCGAGUUCUGCUAAAUGACCGGAAGUAUUUCAUAAGGGUGCCUGAGCUUAUUGACGGUUUGGUGGCCUGGUCGUCUGUCCUGGAAAUCAAGAACGUUCGCUGAAGGACUACACCACUUACACCUGUGUCGCCGCCAAUUCCAGAGGAUCGUACGCUGUGAAUUACACUCUUGGCUCACCCCUGCCCCCGAAUCCACCUCAGUAUCUCAAUGUCACGACAGUCACAGGUAGUACGGCCUACCUCUCGUGGGUGCCCCCGGGUGGGGGGACACACCCUGCGGGCUACACCCUUCUCUAUCGGCCGAAGAACGGAGGAAAGUACACG